rnacentral:misc_RNA from 1 species
CGCACAUUGCGCCCCUUGGUAUUCCAUGGGGCAUGCCUGUUCGAGCGUCAUUUACACCCUCAAGCUCUGCUUGGUGUUGGGCGUCUGUUCUAGCCGUUUACCGGCUUGGACUCGCCUUAAAAAUAUUGGCAGCGGCCUUCGCCAGCUUCUUGCGCAGCAGAGUUUGCGUCGAACGGAGUUUAGCGUUAGGCUUGCAUCCACAAAGCUUACCACGACUUGACCUCGGAUCAGGUAGGGAUACCCGCUGAACUUAA